rnacentral:rRNA from 1 species
UAAGACGUAGGGUGCAAGCGUUGUCCGGAUUUAUUGGGCGUAAAGAGUUCGUAGGCGGUUGCCUAAGUCUGAUGUUAAAGCCUGGCGCUCAACGCCAGCAUGGCAUUGGAAACUGGGCAGCUAGAGUGUGGUAGAGGUCACGGGAAUUCCUGGUGUAGCGGUGAAAUGCGUAGAUAUCAGGAGGAACACCGGUGGCGAAAGCGCGUGACUGGGCCACAACUGACGCUGAGGAACGAAAGCUAGGGUAGCAAAAGGGAUUAGAUACCCCUGUAGUCCUAGCCGUAAACGAUGGAUACUAGGUGUUGGAGGAUUCGACCCUUUCAGUGCCGUAGCUAACGCGAUAAGUAUCCCGCCUGGGGAGUACGACCGCAAGGUUG